ACGGGGUGCAGCAGGCGCGAAACCUUUUGCAAUACACGAAAGUGUGACAGGGUCAUCCCGAGUGCCGACCGCUGAGGUUGGCUUUUACCCAGUCUAGAAAGCUGGGGGAAUAAGGAGAGGGCAAGUCUGGUGUCAGCCGCCGCGGUAAUACCAGCUCUCCGAGUGGUGUGGACGUUUAUUGGGCCUAAAGCAUCCGUAGCUGGCUGAACAAGUCCCCUGUUAAACCCACCGAUUUAAUCGUUGGCUUGCGGGGGAUACUGCUCGGCUAGGGGACGAGAGAGGCAGACGGUAUUCCCGGGGUAGGGGUGAAAUCCUAUAAUCCCGAGAAGACCACCAGUGGCGAAGGCUGUCUGCUAGAACGCGCCCGACGGUGAGGGAUGAAAGCUGGGGGAGCGAACCGGAUUAGAUACCCGGGUAGUCCCAGCUGUAAACGAUGCAGACUAGGUGUUUGGACGGCCACGUGCCGUUCUAGUGCCGCAGGGAAGCUGUUAAGUCUGCCGCCUGGGGAGUACGAUCGCAAGAUUGAAACUUAAAGGAAUUGGCGGGGGAGCAC
rnacentral:rRNA from 1 species